GUCUGCAGACAUUUGCUCAUCUCCCGUCAGAACAGGAUCUGCACACGUGUUCACAUUUUCUAUUCCACAUUUCUAUUGUAGCGUACUGUAUGUAUAGAGCAUAAUAUAUUUGUGUAUAUUCUUUAUCACCGCGGAAACGUGAGGUAACGUUACUCAUUUUAUAACCUUUAUGAUGUUAUAGUCAAUCGUGCUUAUGUAGCCACAUUCUUCUAUUAGCUCUGUAAAACAAUGCUAAAUGCGUCAGAGAAGUAUUAUCUUGUGUUGCAUUUUGAAGCUACCAUGGCCUUAUGACUCUCAAGUGGUGCAGCGGUCAAAGGCACAGCACAUCAGUACUAGAGGUGUCACUACAGACUCCCUGGUUCAAAUCCAGGCUGCGUUUCCAUCAAAAAACCAGAAACAUUAUUUGCCAAUAUCAUAACUGGAGCUGGACAUCUUUGGAGCUGAAGAAUGAGGACAGCUUUUGUAUGCUAACGUACACUCCUUAACAGUUGUACUGGAUGAAAACACAGCAAGAAAACGCAUGCCAAUAUGCAUAGUAUCAUGGCUGGUCACCUGUCAAGUCACAUGUCAGGUCAGUCAGUCACCUAUUGCUGCAGAUGUGCUCAAUAAUGCUUGAGCAUGUGAUACUCCUCAAAGCAUGGUGAAAUACAUAGAGGUGUAUCACAAGCUAGACACAUGUAUUUUGUCAUCUUCCUCUGCUUACUUCUCCUGGCGCCAGACAGGCAGACUUUGCAAUGCCUCCGUGUGCGACUACCUUGAGAAGCAGUUUGAGGGACUUUGCAGGGAAAAUGUCGUGCAGUGAGGCGUAGGGGAUUGUCUACAGCAGGACGACCCCCAGUGGAUGGGCGCCGAGGGGUGUGGUGCUCCUCCAGCAGCUCUCUCAUGAGGUUCUCUCUGUAUUUUUGGUGGUCCACCUUCCCUGUGGCCGACAUGGUUGCUGUAUGGACAGUGGAGAGGACAUGGACGUCUCGCUUGUCAUGCCACUUUACUGCC